GCUAGUCUUGAGUAUAGUUGAGGUAGCUGGAAUGAGUAGUGUAGCGGUGAAAUGCAUAGAUAUUACUCAGAACACCGAUUGCGAAGGCAGGUUACCAAGUUAUAACUGACGCUGAGGGACGAAAGCGUGGGGAGCGAACAGGAUUAGAUACCCUGGUAGUCCACGCCGUAAACGAUGCUAACUCGUUUUUGGGCUUUAGGGUUCAGAGACUAAGCGAAAGUGAUAAGUUAGCCACCUGGGGAGUACGACCGCAAGGUUGAAACUCAAAGGAAUUGACGGGGGCCCGCACAAGCGGUGGAUCAUGUGGUUUAAUUCGAUGAUACGCGAGGAACCUUACCAAGGCUUAAAUGGGAAUUGACAGCUGUAGAAAUACGGUUUUCUUCGGACAAUUUUCAAGGUGCUGCAUGGUUGUCGUCAGCUCGUGCCGUGAGGUGUUAGGUUAAGUCCUGCAACGAGCGCAACCCCUGUCACUAGUUGCCAUCAUUAAGUUGGGGACUCUAGUGAGACUGCCUACGCAAGUAGAGAGGAAGGUGGGGAUGACGUCAAAUCAUCACGGCCCUUACCCUUGGGCCACACACGUGAUACAAUGGCCG
rnacentral:rRNA from 1 species